GGUUGGCCCUUACAGGUAACAGCAGGGCAGCCCGCCUCCUUUAUGAUCUGAAUGUGCCAAUAGAGGCGUAAAACAUUUGUAAUACAUAUAUUAUUAUUUAUUUUUGCUACAACCUACAAGGUGCGGCGUGGAGCCCGGGGAGGCAGUGGCAGACCUAGCAGAGCUCAUCCAAUCUUUGCCGCACGUGAAUUUUAAAGGAAUCCAAUGUUACCACGGAAAUUCCCUCCACAUCUUCAACGCCACUGAGAGAAAGGCUUCGUCCUCUACUGGGAUCGAAAAAACCAAAAUAGCGCUGAAGGCCCUGCAGGAUCGGAACAUCGCCUGCGACUACGUGACAGGGGCUGGCACGGGCACGUUCGAACAUGAAGCUGCUAGCGGGGUGUUCACCGAGAUACACGCUAUAUCCUUACUACACACUUGUGUUAUAACAUUCUAGAUACGCACUUUAUCCUUACUACACACUUGUGUUAUAACAUCCUAGAUACACACUAUAUCCUUACUACACAC